ACAAGCCAUGUUCGUGACUCCAUAACAGAGCAGAAAAAACAUACUGACAAGUGGUGCGACGGUGUUGAGGUUUCCAAUGAAGAGGAUGAUCUAGAACAUCAAAGGUACCAACAACAUACCAGACAGAUGAGUGGAUGGGCAGUCAACAAACAGACUUACAAGAGCAGCAGAAACAGAGACCAUGACAGCAAGAAAGAUAACAAAGGAUGUCUUGGCAAACAUUCCUGGAAGAUAUAAAAAAAAGUGCUUGGGGUUAUUCAGAAUUAUAGCAUGGAAAAUACAUUAACACAAACCACAGUUUUUGGAUAAUUCCUAAUUUUAACCUCAAGGAACAUAUAGCAAGGAUUUGCUGAUUUGUAAGAAGGGAUUAACAGGUAUAGACAUUUUGUUAAAAUGUGUUAAGGCCCAAUUUUUUAAAAGACUUCAGGGUGCCAGGCUACCUAACAUUAUUCAGCCUACACUCAACAACAAAUUAUUGUUAGCCGACAGAGUGCUUGGACCAUGAUAAAAAUCAUAUAACAAUACAAUACAAUAAUCUUUAUUUUUAGAGGGUUACAUUUUAAUACUGUAAUUAAGAAAAAAAAUAUCAUUUUUGCUUGUGUCUGUCCUCUAAUAGAUGCACAGAUUACAUCACAGGGUUUCAUGAGCAAAAAGCACACAACAAGAGGCAGUCAAGUUGCGUGACUGUUGUUCAUGACAUGCUGCGACCUCAUCUGUGCAUCUAGUAUUAGAGGACAGACAAAAAAUGUGAUCUAUUUGUUUUAUACAACAAUUAAAAUAUGUUUUCUUACAUAACAAUUUAAUUUGGGGAAGCAUGCAUGCAUGCUGACGCCAAGUGUGCGUGUGCCCUCUAAUAACACAAGGACCCUUAACCAAUCAGAGUGCAUGAUUUAUGAGUGACGUAUAUCACUAUACAAUGAAUCACAUUUAACCUGCUCCAAUCAUGCAGACAGCCAGACAGAGCAUCAAGAUGGCAGAACCAUAAAGGAACUGAUACCAGUAGCCUUGAUGAAAACCUAAAUGCAAAGGGAAAGCAUUUUCAUAUUAAGAACAACCACAUCAUGUUGUUAUUGUUGAGUCUUGCAAUCUUUUAUGAGAUUAUAUGUGACAAAUGAUGCUCUCUGUGAUGUGGAUGAGUAUCCAUUGUAUAUACUGUAUUUAUUGGUUAGGGGGAUAUCACGGCCAACUGAAAUGAUCAGACUUGUGACAAGAAUGUCUUUUAAUUUAUUAAAAUAAAUGCACAUGCUAGAUAACCACUAA